rnacentral:rRNA from 1 species
AUUGAACGCUGGCGGAAUGCUUUACACAUGCAAGUCGAACGGCAGCACGGGGCAACCUGGUGGCGAGUGGCGAACGGGUGAGUAAUACAUCGGAACGUGCCCAAUCGUGGGGGGAUAACGUAGCGAAAGUUACGCUAAUACCGCAUACGAUCUACGGAUGAAAGCGGGGGAUCGCAAGACCUCGCGCGAUUGGAGCGGCCGAUGUCAGAUUAGGUAGUUGGUGGGGUAAAGGCUCACCAAGCCGACGAUCUGUAGCUGGUCUGAGAGGACGACCAGCCACACUGGGACUGAGACACGGCCCAGACUCCUACGGGAGGCAGCAGUGGGGAAUUUUGGACAAUGGGCGCAAGCCUGAUCCAGCCAUUCCGCGUGCAGGAUGAAGGCCUCGGGUUGUAAACGUGCUUUGUCUAGGGAAGAACGGUACCGCGCUAAUACCGCGGAC